UACGUAGGGGGCGAGCGUUAAUCGGAAUUACUGGGCGUAAAGCGUGCGCAGGCGGUUAUGUAAGACAGGUGUGAAAUCCCCGGGCUUAACCUGGGAACUGCAUUUGUGACUGCAUAGCUAGAGUACGGUAGAGGGGGAUGGAAUUCCGCGUGUAGCAGUGAAAUGCGUAGAUAUGCGGAGGAACACCGAUGGCGAAGGCAAUCCCCUGGACCUGUACUGACGCUCAUGCACGAAAGCGUGGGGAGCAAACAGG
rnacentral:rRNA from 1 species